CUCUGGUCAGGUAGGGCAUGACUAGAGGAAGUAAAUCACUUGGGGGUAUGCCUUUGGGGAUUGUAUUAUCUCUGGAUCCAGACACUCAAACUCUCUCUGCUUCCUGGUUUCCAUGUCCUGAGCUGCUUACCUUCACCAUGAUAUCUAUGAAAUAUAGAUUUCAUAAUAUCGAAAAAUGUCGGUAAGACGUACAUUUACACAUCACAUCUAAAUUAGUUGAGAAAUAAAUCAUUAGACAUUGCUCAGAUACCUUAAGUAUACAGGUAGGUGUGGAGGCUUCAUCUUGCAAGGAAAAUUUCUUCUGGUCCACUGAGUAUAUACUCUUCAAUCUUACUUGGAUUUUUUCUGCUUUAACAAUAGCCCCUCAAGAAAGCAAUUACAAAUGCUUUGGAUCUAAAUUUAAAACAAAACAAAACAAAACAAAACUUGCCCAGCUUUUAAUUGAGUAUUAGGAUUUUUUUGCUAUUGAGUUGUAGGUGUUUUUAAAAAAAUGUUUCUGAAAUUAACACCUAUCACAUAUGUUUGCAAAUAUUUUCCAUUGCAUGAGGUGCCUUUCACUCUGACUGUGGGCUAAGACUUGAAUAGGCAUUUCUUUAAAGAAGGCAUAUAAAUAGUCAAUAGGUAUAUGAAAAGAUGUUCAACAUCACUAUCAUCAGGGAAAGGAAAAUCAAAAACAACAAGAUAUCUCCUCAUACCUAUCAGGAUAGCUGUGAUAUAAAACAAAACAGUAACAACAAAAAAAUAAAAUAAAAUAAAAGACAGAUGGUGGUGAGGAUGUGGAGAAAUUGGAAUCUUUGUGCACAGCUGGUGGGAGUACAAAAUGAUAUAGCUGCUAUGGAAAAGAACAUGGAAAAUUUUGACAAAAUUAAAACUAGAACCAGCAUAUGAUCCAGGAAUCUCACUCUAGUUGUGUGUAUACAAAGAAAUUUAUAUCAGGAUCUAGAAGAAAGAUCUACAUUCCCAUGUUAAUUGCAGUACUAUUCACAGUAUUCAAGGUGUGGAAAUAAUUAAACAUCCAUCAGCAUAUGAAUGGAUAAAGAAAAUGUGGCGCACACACAAUGGGAUAUUAUUCAGUUUUACAAAAGAAGGAAAUUAUACAGUAUAUGACAAAAUGGAAAAACUUUGAGGAUACUGUCUUAAGUGAAAUAAACCAGCCACAAAAACACUCAUGUUGUAUGACUCCUCAUAGGGGUCCCUAGAAAAGUCAAACUCAGAAACUCAGAGAGUGGAAUGUGGCUUCCAGGGACUGGGGAAAGAAGAAAUUGAAAGUUGUUAAUCAGUGGGCAUUUGGUUUUAGCAGAGCAAGAUGAAUAAGUUCUAGAGAUCUGCUGAACAACAUCGUACCUAUAUUUAAAAAUACUACAUUGUACACUUCACAUCUUGUUGAGAGUCAAUCAUAUAUGAUGUUCUUACCAUAAUAAAAUAAAAUUUUAAAACAGUGUUUGUCUUGCAAUGUAG
rnacentral:lncRNA from 1 species